GAUGAACGCUGGCGGCGUGCCUAAUACAUGCAAGUCGAGCGAACAGACGAGGAGCUUGCUCCUCUGACAUUAGCGGCGGACGGGUGAGUAACACGUGGAUAACCUACCUAUAAGACUGGGAUAACUUCGGGAAACCGGAGCUAAUACCGGAUAAUAUAUUGAACCGCAUGGUUCAAUAGUGAAAGACGGUUUUGCUGUCACUUAUAGAUGGAUCCGCGCCGCAUUAGCUAGUUGGUAAGGUAACGGCUUACCAAGGCGACGAUGCGUAGCCGACCUGAGAGGGUGAUCGGCCACACUGGAACUGAGACACGGUCCAGACUCCUACGGGAGGCAGCAGUAGGGAAUCUUCCGCAAUGGGCGAAAGCUUGACGGAGCAACGCCGCGUGAGUGAUGAAGGUCUUCGGAUCGUAAAACUCUGUUAUUAGGGAAGAACAAAUGUGUAAGUAACUAUGCACGUCUUGACGGUACCUAAUCAGAAAGCCACGGCUAACUACGUG
rnacentral:rRNA from 1 species